GUACUGCUCUGUUAGCAGCAGGAGCAAAUGAAAGAAUUCAGUGUCAGCAUUUUCUGUUUCUCAUCUGACAAACAAGGUCAGGUACUUCUUUGAACAACCCAGUUCCAAUAGCUGUGAAACAUAAAGAGACAAGCAGGGGAAGAUUUUCCAGAAAGGCUGGUGGCUAGGCACAAGGAAGCAGAUGAAAGAGAAAGUUCUACAAGCGGUUGGAAGAAAUGGGUGCUCUGGAGGUCAGGGCUGAAGUGAGGAGUUUUGAGAGUUGAGGUUCAGGCUGUGAGGAUUGUAUCUCUCCCCCAGCAAUCCUCUGCCAAGUGAGCCCUUUAUAUGCAAGGCAGUUUAUAUCUCACACACCUCUCUGUGCACCUUCUGUUUUUAACUCCCCAGGAGUAAAUUUUUCAGCCUCUUUCUUUAUAGCAAAUUACACCAUUAAUGUCAUCCUGGCGAAUGAAACAAGAGAAUAGUAUUUAUCAGAGAAAGUCUGGUGAGUUGAAGUCCAAGACCCCAGGAAACAACUAGCCCUGCUGGGCUGCCCCUCCUUCGGAGUGGGACUAUAUGAUCCUCAUCAGGCCAAUCCACGUCACAGAAUGGUCUAGGCAUUGGAUGAGUGCCUCAAUCUGAGCCAAUGAAGGUCAUUGCUGAGACAUUUUACUGGUUGCCAGGCUGCAGGCAUCCCAGGCUUCCUGCUGCCCUCAUGUCUACAACCUGUCGUCUGGAACAUUCCAGGAGCCACUUUUAUCACUUGCAGCAAUCUUCUUCAGUGAGUUCCCCAGGACUUGAUUUCAUCUUACAAUCUGAUUCCAUGUGUCUCCCAUAUUUUAAGGAUUCUUUAUUAUUUCUGGCUUACAGAGAACAAAUACCACAGACUGGGCAAUUUAUAAAUGAUGGAAGUUUAUUUGGCUCAUGGUUCUGGAGACUGGGAAGUCCAAGAACAUGGCACUGUCAUCUGGUGA
rnacentral:lncRNA from 1 species